rnacentral:rRNA from 1 species
GAACGCUGGCGGCGUGCUUAACACAUGCAAGUCGCGCGUGAAAGGACUUCGGUCCGAGUAAAGCGGCGCACGGGUGAGUAACGCGUGGAUGAUCUACCCAUGAGUUAGGAAUAACGGCUGGAAACGGUCGCUAAUACCAAAUACGCUCCGAUUUCAACUUCGGGGGGAAAGGUGGCCUCUGCUUGCAAGCUACUGCUCAUGGAUGAGUCCGCGUCCCAUUAGCUAGUUGGUGGGGUAACGGCCCACCAAGGCGACGAUGGGUAGCCGGUCUGAGAGGAUGACCGGCCACACUGGGACUGGAACACGGCCCAGACUCCUACGGGAGGCAGCAGUGGGGAAUAUUGCGCAAUGGGCGAAAGCCUGACGCAGCGACGCCGCGUGAGGGAUGAAGGUCCUCGGAUCGUAAACCUCUGUCAGGAGGGAAGAACCGCCACGGUGCUAAUCAGCCGUGGUCUGACGGUACCUCCAAAGGAAGCACCGGCUAACUCCGUGCCAGCCGCUGC